rnacentral:rRNA from 1 species
GAUGAACGCUAGGCGGGAGGCCUAAACACAUGCAAGCCGAGCGGUAUUGUUUCUCGGAAAUGAGAGAGCGGCGUACGGGUGCGGAACACGUGUGCAACCUGCCUUUAUCGUGGGGGAUAGCCUUUCGAAAGGAAGAUUAAUACUCCAUAAUAUAUUGAACGGCAUCGUUUGAUAUUGAAAGCUCCGGCGGAUAGAGAUGGGCACGCGCAAGAUUAGAUAGUUGGUAGGGUAACGGCCUACCAAGUCUACGAUCAUUAGGGGUUCUGAGAGGAAGGUCCCCCACACUGGUACUGAGACACGGACCAGACUCCUACGGGAGGCAGCAGUGAGGAAUAUUGGUCAAUGGGCGAGAGCCUGAACCAGCCAAGUCGCGUGAAGGAAGAAGGUUCUAUGGAUUGUAAACUUCUUUUGCAGGGGAAUAAAGGACGGUACGUGUACUGUUUUGUAUGUACCUUGCGAAUAAGGAUCGGCUAACUCCGUG